rnacentral:rRNA from 1 species
CCUGAGCUCAGGCAAGAA